rnacentral:rRNA from 1 species
UUACCAUGCAGUCGAGCGGUACGGGGUUGAUAGCUUGCUAUCACUGCCGACGAGCGGCGGACGGGUGAGUAGAACGUAGGGAUCUGCCUUAUAGAGGGGGAUAACCCGGGGAAACCCGGGCUAAUACCGCAUGAGCUCUAAGGAGGAAAGCGGGUGGUAAAACACUGGCGCUAUAAGAUGAGCCUACGACGGAUUAGCUAGUUGGUGAGGUAAAGGCUUACCAAGGCGAUGAUCUGUAGCUGGUCUGAGAGGACGGACAGCCACACUGGGACUGAGACACGGCCCAGACUCCUACGGGAGGCAGCAGUGGGGAAUAUUGGACAAUGGGGGGAACCCUGAUCCAGCGAUGCCGCGUGUGUGAAGAAGGCCUGCGGGUUGUAAAGCACUUUAGUUGGGGAGGAAAGUAUGAAGGUUAAGAGCUGUUAUACUUGACGUUACCCAAAGAAUAAGCACCGGCUAACUCUGUGCCAGCAGCCGCGGUAAUACAGAGGGUGCAAGCGUUAAUCGGAAUUACUGGGCGUAAAGGGCGCGUGGGCGGUACAUCAAGCUGGAUGUGAAAUACCUGGGCUUAACCUGGGGGAGUCAUUCAUAACUGGAGUACUAGAGUAGGGGAGAGGGGAGUGGAAUUCACAGUGUAGCGGUGAAAUGCGUAGAUAUUGUGAGGAACAUCGAUGGCGAAGGCAGCUCUCUGGCCUGCUACUGACGCUGAGGCGCGAAAGCAUGGGUAGCGAACAGGAUUAGAUACCCUGGUAGUCCAUGCUGUAAACGAUGAGAACUGGAUGUUGGCACCUGCGGGUGUUAGUGUCGAACCAAACGCGUUAAGUUCUCCCCCUGGGGAGUACGGUCGCAAGAUUAAAACUCAAAGGAAUUGACGGGGGCCCCCACAAGCGGUGGAACCAUGUGGUUUUAAUUC